CGCCUGCGAGUUUGUUCCCCGAGUUUGCGUGAUAACGCGAGCAACUCGCGUGUUGAAGGCGAAACGUGAAACGUGUUGCACGGUUAGAAACGCGUGCAUAAACGAGAAAUAGUUAUUGCGCAUGCUCAGCGUGCAGCGUGCGCUACCGCGCAAAUAAAUGUUCCCCUGCGCAUGCCCAGCGUGCCAAACCGAGAAGGUUAAAUGCGCAUGCCCAGCGUGCAAAACCGAGCAGUUUAAAUACGCAUGCUCAGCGUGCAAUGGAUUUAAGUGUUCAUCGGCUUACUGUUCUAGUUUGAAAGAUAUAUGAUAUUUCUUUCAAAUUUUAUUUUUGAUUUGAAAUUUAUCUUUUUGAUCAUUUCCGUAAAGAUUUUUUUUUUUUUUUUGUAAACAGUAUACCCGGAAAGUAGUGUAGACAGGAUAUAGUAGAUAUUGUCUACGUCAUAAAAAGACGGCAGUUCCACUGCUUAUCAAAGCGGCGACCCUGAAAUUCUAUAUCGCCAAGAAUUUGAAUUCGCAUUCCAUCAGUAAGUGUUGAAAUGUAACUAAAGUUACGCUUGAUUUUAUUGAGCACUAUGUACAGUAUGAUAAACACAGAUAUAAAAUAUAGCUUCAGUGUAUCUCACAUAAUUUCGCGCAUUUGAAAGAUUGCGCAAAUGUAAUUACAAUCAAAUUGACUAACAGUGGUGACUUCCCUUUAAUAAUUUUACACCAUUUGCUGUCAACGAAGGUGUUGUCAUCAGCUGUUGAAAAUGUGAAAUAUUCAUGUUGGUUUUACUAGUUCUGCGAUGUGUGUGCAAUUCCACAUCUGAGCACUGUAAGGUCUGGCAGCAAAAUAAAGAUAUAUUCAAAUGGAUCUGUGCUGUGUCUCACAUCUGACAUCAUACUAGAAAAGGGUCAUGUAAACGUAACAAAAAGUCAUGCGAAUGGACAUCAAAAUGUUGACACAGAUCGGUAUUUGAGACUUAAAUAUUCAGGAUAUAACUUCAUAAAACUGGCGGAUAAACCAAGCUGCGAAGGUGCUUUCGAAUGGCAAGUAAAACAGUUGUGUCUCUUCGUAGGAACGAUGAUACAAUAUUUACGUAUGCAUUCAAAUGAUGCUGUUCAAGGUAACAAUCAAAUGAUGCUGUUCAAGGUAACAAGAAGAAGUUAACAUUUGGCAGUGUGAGAAAGGAAAUUUACUUCUGCAUGACGGGAAAAUGAUAUUUGCAUGCAUAUUUUAUCGGAGGCAGCUGCAAAACCACCAACAGGAAACUCUUUUUGAUAUUAUGUUGUGAUAGACUAUUUGACUGUUUUCGGCCCGCUUUUGGCGAGACGGUAUUACGAUAGUUUUAUAUGAAAAUCUGCGAUAAAGUCCGAAAAUCUCGCUUGUGGAGAGAAGAAACUCGAUUAUGAUGUUCCCGCUAAGGAAAAAAAAAUCUUGCGUCGAACCAGAAGCUGUGUGAAUACAUCCCCGAGAAGAAAGUCACUACGUCGGCCAGCUGCAGUUUUUUACCAUCAUCUGAAGAUAGUAUCUUUCAGGAAUAAAGGCUUUUGGCUGGACCAGCUACUCUGCCUAACUGUGACCUCAUUUUCUCUGUCUCUCCUUCCGGUGGUGCUCAAAUUCCGGAGCUCUCGAUCCAUAGGCAGACGCCAUACGACUGAGCUAUCAUGGCACACGAUUCCGUUAACAGUGCUGUGAUUGUGUCUAAUUGUAGAGCGAUGUUUAAAAAUGUUAAAAUAAUUAUUUACGACGUUAAGUCAGCAACAGCAACAUACUAGCGUUUUUAUAAAGCUAAGCUUGUUUUACAAUUAAUGUGCGAAGCCACUGCUGCAGACGACAAUUUAUAUUGGAAGCGAGACAAGAACAGACGAAUACAAUACAUAUCACUUCGCGCUAAGGUAACCACGUAGACAGUUUGUUGAGGUAUUGACUCAUUAAAGCUAUUUUGACCUUGUCUUCACAAUAGCAGUUUCAUUUAUGAUUUUACUCUAACUAAACUUGCGCACAACUUGUAACACCACAAGAUCUUGGUUCCAUUCUUGAACUGGGCAGAUUCCAUCAUGGAUUCUAUAGAGUUAUGCCCCCCCCCCCAAAGGUCCAAAAUUGGCUAUGUUGGCCUUUGCAACCAUAUAGAUUUCUUUUAUGGUUUGACUUGAUACGAACUUCCAAAAUAGCUUCAACAACAAUAAAUCUUGGAUUCCAUGAGUUAUUUUAUAUCUGAUUACCUCCCCUGAUUGUCAUCAAAAUGGAUUUAUAUCAGUAAGUACUUAUAGGACUUAUUUGAAAUUUCAUUAUUGUCUUACUGGCUUACGGAAGGUCGGUGGUUCUACCCAGGUGCCCGCUCCUGAUGAAAUAGUGCACGGAGGGGCACCUGGGGUCUUCCUCCACCAUUAAAAGCUGGAAAGUCGCCAUAUGACCUUAAAUUGUGUCGGCGCGAUGUUAAACCCAACAAAAUAAAAAAAUAAAAUCAUUAUUGUCAUUAGUUGGAUUGAGACAAUCAGGGUAGGUAACCAUGGACUGAUUUCAAAUUACCUCCCUUUAUUUGAAAUUAAAAUGGAUAUAUCUCCGUAACAAACGAAGAUAAUGAUUUGAAAUUGCAUUUAUGUCAACAGACAGACUUGGACAAUCACUGAAGAUACAUAUUGGCUGAAUCUAUGACAAAUUACCUCCCUUUAUUUUUUAUCUAAAUGAGGACACCUUAGCAUCUUCAAAUGAGAUUUGUUUGAAACGUUAUUUAUGUCUUUCAUGGUAAGAAAUAAUCGUAUUAUGUAACUUUUGAUAGAACAUUUAUCGAUAUAAAUACUUUACUAAUAUAUUGUUGUAUAGGCUUGUACUGUGUAUCUUCUACAUGCAUAUACCAAUGCAUCAUUACCUCCCCUGAUUUUAAUAAAAAUGGAUGUUGAUAGAACUCAUUUGGAAUGUCAUUAUUGUUUUUAGUUUGACUGAGGCAACCAGGGUAGAUAGUGUGGACUGAUUUUAUGUCAAAUUACCUCCCUUUGUAGCCCGCCCGCUUAGCCCAGUAGGUAAGAGCGUUGGUCUACGGAUCUCGGGGUCGCGAGUUCGAUCCUCGGGCGGGGCGUAUAUUCUCCGUGAUUAUUUGAUAAACGAUAUUGUGUCUGAAAUCAUUAGUCCUCCACCUCUGAUUCAUGCGGGGAAGUUGACAGUUACUUGCGGAGAACAGGUUUGUACUGCUACAAAAUCCAGGAAUACUGGUUAGGUUAACUGCCCGCCGUUACAUGACUGAAAUACUGUUGAAAAACGGCGUUAAACCCAACAAACAAACAAAAACCUCCCUUCGUUUCAAAUUAAAAUGGUUGUAUCUCAGUAACCAAUGAAGACACUGAUUUGAAAUGUCAUUUGUGCCAUCAGAUGGACUCGAACAAUCAGGGUAGAUAACUUUUGACUGAAUUUAUGACAAAUUACCUCCCUUUAUUAUUUGUAAACGAAUAUAUAAGUAUGUAAGGAAUAUCGUGUUAGUAAAAAAAUGCAGCAUUUGAGCCUAGGACCCUCUAUGUCAAAACUUGAUCAUAUCAUUUUGAGCAAUGGUACUCCGGUGAGCGAUACAGGGCCAUCAUGGCUCUCUGGUUUAUUUUUGUAAUUGGAAAACGCACCACGUAGAGGUUGCUUAUUACGAAAAUGAUAUUUUUGUUUUAAAAGAUAAUUACUUUAAAAUAUUUUGUGUUUUUAGGAUAGAUGAUACAUUGGUUUUUAUCACAUGACGUGUUUAAAACAUGUAAAGGUAGCUGUUCCUGUUUUAUUUUGCUUCUUACUGUAUUUUCUUUCGAUAUAAAUAAUAUUUUAUAGUAUCAAUAAAGUUGAUGUUUCA